AUUAAACUGAAGAGUUUGAUCCUGGCUCAGAUUGAACGCUGGCGGCAUGCUUUAC
rnacentral:rRNA from 1 species